UUUCUAGUAUAAGUCUGUUCCAUGUAAUAAUUGGAACAGACUUAUACUAAAA
rnacentral:pre_miRNA from 1 species